AGGAAUUUAGGUUAACUAGACCAAGAGCCUUCAAAGCCCUAAGUAUGUAACCUAUGCUUAAUUCCUG
rnacentral:tRNA from 1 species